UGAGUUUGAUCCUGGCUCAGGAUGAACGCUGGCGGCGUGCCUAACACAUGCAAGUCGAGCGGAGUUUAACAAAGGAAGUUUUCGGACGGAAUUUGUUAAACUUAGCGGCGGACGGGUGAGUAACGCGUGGGCAACCUGCCCUGUACAGAGGGACAACAACGGGAAACCGUUGCUAAUACCUCAUAAAACCCUAAAGGGGCAUCCCUUAUGGGUCAAAGAGUUUCGGUACAGGAUGGGCCCGCGUCUGAUUAGCUAGUUGGUGAGGUAAUGGCUCACCAAGGCGACGAUCAGUAGCCGACCUGAGNGGGUGAUCGGCCACACUGGAACCGAGACACGGUCCAGNCUCCUACGGGAGGCAGCAGUGGGGAAUAUUGCACAAUGGGGGAAACCCUGAUGCAGCAACGCCGCGUGAGCGAU
rnacentral:rRNA from 1 species